rnacentral:rRNA from 1 species
UUUUUAUAAUAUCAUUUUAUUGGUUUGUUUAAUUAUUAUUUUAUAGAAAUAUCUUUUUUAAAUUAUGUCUAAGUAGUUUUUAAGAAUUGAUUAAUUUAAUUUUAGUUAAUUAGUAAGGUAAUUGAAUUAUUAUUUAUAGAAUAAAAGAAGUACUUUUUAUGGGGUACCUAUUGUGUCAGGGUUUAUUAAUAUUUUUUAUUAAUGUUAUUAGUCUCAAUUUAGGUUGAUCUAUAAUUAAAUUUACUUUUAUUGUUUUAUAAAUAUUUUAAAUUUAAUUAUAGAAAUGAUAUGAUACUCGUUUCCUAAGGUUUCUAGUUUAAAAAAAAUUUUUUUUAGUUUAUUGAUUGUUUACAGUUUUUUUUAUUAUUUACUUUUGUAUAUUUUAGGGGAUAAGCUCUAAUAAUUUGUUAUUCUAUAAUUUAAGUAUUUUAUUUUAAAGUAGGCUUUUAACCAGCUACCUUUUUAAAUUAAGUUUUAUUACCUAAUUUUUAUUUUGAAUUUAUAUUGUUUUAGAGAUUUUAUUGAAAUAGUUUAAUGAAUUUUUUAUUUUUUGUAAUAAUUAUUGAAUUAGUAUAUAUAUUUGUUUAAAUAAUUUUUAUUGAUAAUUUAAUUUAAGGAACUAGGCAAAAUUAUUCUUUUCGCCUGUUUAACAAAAACAUGUCUUUUUGAUAAUAAUUUAAAGUCUAACCUGCUCACUGAAUUGUUAUUUAAAGAGCUGCGGUAUUUUGACCGUACAAAGGUAGCAUAAUCAUUAGGUUUUUAAUUGGAGUCUGGAAUGAAUGGUUUGACGAGGGGGUGACUGUCUCAAUUUUAAUUGAUAAAAUUUAACUUUUAAGUUAAAAGGCUUAAAUUUGACUUUAGGAUGAGAAGACCCUAUAGAGCUUUAUAUAUAAUUUAAAAUAGUUUUUAGAUGAUUUAUUUUAUUUAUUAGUUAAUAUAUUUUGUUGGGGUGAUAUGAAGAAUAAUUAAACUCUUUAUAUUUGUAUAUCAUUGAUUUAUGAAAGGUUAAUCCAUUGAUUGUGAUUAAAAGAUUAAGUUACCUUAGGGAUAACAGCGUAAUUAUUUUUUAGAGUUCUUAUCAACAAAAUAGAUUGCGACCUCGAUGUUGGAUUAAGAUAAGUGCUAGGUGUAACAGUUUAGUAACUAGGUCUGUUCGACCUUUAAUUUCUUACAUGAUCUGAGUUCAGACCGGCGUGAGCCAGGUCGGUUUCUAUCCUAAGUUUAUAUAAUUAUAUUAGUACGAAAGGAUCAUAUAAUUGAAAUAUUUUCUUUUUUAUUGAUAACUAUUAAUUA